rnacentral:rRNA from 1 species
AUGGAUUUGUGCUGUGCAGUACACGAUUCUCCAGCUAAGUGGGCGGCGUGGCUUCCUCAAGCAGAGUUCUGGUAUAAUUCUACAUACCACUCUUCCUUGGGAUGUACCCCUUACAAAGCUUUAUAUGGACAGAACCCAAACAUGGGGCAGCUGGAAGGACAUUCCACUUCUAUGAAUCCUGAUGUGCAAACUUGGUUGUCCUCUAAUACUCAACUUAUAGUUGUGUUAAAGGAUCAUCUGGCCAGAGCUCAAUGCAAGUAUAAGCAUUUUGCUAACAGAAAAAGGUUUGAUCGCCAGUUUGCAGUUGGGGAGAUGGUUUACUUGUGCUUCCAACCCUAUGCCCGGUCGUUAGUGGUCAAUCGCCCUUGUCCCAAAUUAGCUCUCAAGUAUUUUGGGUCAUUUAAAGUGCUGGACAAAAUAGGCAUUGCGGUCUACCGUCUGGAGUUGCCGCGCGGCAGUAUGGUUCAUCUGGUGUUCCAUGUCUCUCAGCUCAAGACUCACGUUCCAAAUCAUACUCUAGUGUUUACUAUGUUGCCUGUUCCUCUUGAUCUGUCUGUGCCGGGAGUACUACUUGAAGAGAUUCUGGAUCGCCGACUGGUUAAAAAAGGAAAUGCCUCUCAUCUCCAAAUAUUGGUCAAAUGGACGUUUAUGCCUGCAUCUUCGGCGACUUGGGAGGAUUACCAAGCACUCAAGGAUCGUUAUCCAGAUCCA